GAUGAACGCUGGCGGCGUGCCUAAUACAUGCAAGUCGAGCGAACAGACGAGGAGCUUGCUCCUCUGACGUUAGCGGCGGACGGGUGAGUAACACGUGGAUAACCUACCUAUAAGACUGGGAUAACUUCGGGAAACCGGAGCUAAUACCGGAUAAUAUAUUGAACCGCAUGGUUCAAUAGUGAAAGACGGUUUUGCUGUCACUUAUAGAUGGAUCCGCGCCGCAUUAGCUAGUUGGUAAGGUAACGGCUUACCAAGGCAACGAUGCGUAGCCGACCUGAGAGGGGGAUCGGCCACACGGGAAAUGAGAAGCGGGCCAGACUCCGACGGGAGGCAGCAGUAGGGAAUCUUGCGAAAUGGGGGAAAGCCUGACGGAGCAACGCCGGGUGAGUGAAGAAGGUCUUCGGGUGGGAAAACUCUGUUAUUAGGGAAGAACAAAUGUGUAAGUAACUAUGCACGUCUUGACGGUACCUAAUCAGAAAGCCACGGCUAACUACGU
rnacentral:rRNA from 1 species